UGUCGUCAGCUCGUGUCGUGAGAUGUUCGGUUAAGUCCGCUAACGAGCGCAACCCUCACUGUGUGUUACAUGUGUCACACGGGACUGCCGGUUUAAGCCGGAGGAAGGCGAGGAUGACGUCAAGUCAGCAUGGCCUUUAUAUCUUGGGCUACACACACGCUACAAUGGUCUGUACAAUAGGUUGCCAAGCCGCGAGGCGGAGCCAAUCCUUAAAGCAGGCCUCAGUUCAGAUUGCAGGCUGCAACCCGCCUGCAUGAAGAUGGAGUUGCUAGUAACCGCAGGUCAGCUAUACUGCGGUGAAUACGUUCCCGGGUCUU
rnacentral:rRNA from 1 species